AGAAAAAGAGUGAAGGGAGACCAAAAUGGACAUACAGAAUGGGAGAUGGAGAAAUAUUAAAAGUUCAAGAAAAGAGAGAUCUGGGAGUGACAAUACAAGAUAAUCAACAAUCUGAGAGUCAUGUAAAUAGGAUAUUCGGUGAUACGCAUAGAAUGGUAAGAAAUGUAGGAUUAGCAUUCCACUACAUGGAUAAGGAUAUGAUGGAAAAGAUGAUUACCACUAUGAUUAGACCAAAAUUGGAAUUGCAGAAACUGUGUGGUCUCCCCAUAAAAAGAAACACGUGAAAAAACUAGAAAUAAUACAAAGGAUGGCAAUGAAAAUGGUUCCAGAACUGGAGGGAUUGUCAUAUGAAGAAAGAUCAAGGGAAAUGGACCUGCCAACAUUGGAAUAAAGAAGAGAAAGGGGAGACCUAAUACAAAUGAUUAAUUAUGGAAUAAUAUGGAAGAAGUAGAUAAUGAAGAGUUACUACUAAGAGAAGGAAGAAGCACCAGCAACACACAAGGACACAGUAAAAAAGAAAAGGAAGAUGCUUGAGAGACUUAAAGAAAUAUAGCUUCCUGCAAAGAAAUAGAGGUUUGGAACAGACUAAGUGAGGAUGUAGUAUCAGCGAAGAGUGUGCACAACUUUAAGGAAAAGUUGGACAAAUACAGAUAUGGAGACGGGACCACACGAGCAUAAGCCCAGGCCCUGUAAAACUACAACUAGGUAAACAAGGUAAAUACACACACACACACACACACACACACACACACACACACACACACCAUUUAAUUAUUUAUACUCCAUAGGAAAUGUAUAUUAUAUUGUUAAAGUUUAUUUAGAUAUAUUUCAAAAGUAAGAGUUUAUGCAACUUUGAUGCCUAUACAAUUAUUCUGUUUUAAAUUGUUCUAUGAUGAAGGCUUGCUAGAUUUCAGAAGGUAAAAAAUAUGAAGUAAUUGACUUUGUUAUACUCUCAAUUAAUACUUAACUUUUUUGAUAUUAAUUAUUCCAGUUACAGCUGAAGCACAAAUUUAUAAAGAAAAAUAUGAAAUUUGUUACUCAAAUCUUGUAUAUAAAGAACUUUGCUUUGGAAAGACUCCUUAGUCAUUCCAAAUGUAUGUAAAAAAAUAAUUGAUGUCCAUCAGUUUAAUGAAAUUAAUAGAAGUUAUUUAUCAGCCAAAUGUAAUGAUACCUGAGAAAUCUUUAUCACAAAUUUUCCAUUUUGAUCGUUGUUUCUUUUUUUGUUACCAGUUACAAGGAUUGAUUUGAUAGGUAAAUUAUAUAUGAUAAUUAAUUGUUGAUAUUGUUUUAACUAAGUAAAAUCUCCACCCUCUGGAGCAAGAGAUUAUAAUAUGUAGAUGAUGAUUCCCCGUUUUUUUGGUGUUCUAGACCACAGUCUCUUCAGCUUAAGAAGAUAUCUAACUUUUUAUUUAAUUAUUUCAAAGCAUCAUACACAACCUAGAGGAGAGUCCUACUGAAAUAAUUACAUGUUCUUCUACACAGAUUAUCAUUGAAACAACUUAACCCGGUAGCAGCGGGGAUCAUGUUUCUUAAUGGUCCCUCCAUGGGAGAAAAAUGAGAAAAAAUCACCCCUCACACAAACCAUUUCAUAAUAUAUAUCCAAGCAUUUGUGAUCAGAUUAUGUAUCAUCUAUUUUGAGGGGUUUAUAUCAUGGCACAAAUUUGGUCCGUCGCUGCUACACGGUAAAGCCACAAAUUUGGCCCGUCACUGCUACCGGGUUAAAUUUCCUAAUGGUUAUUGUGCCUUGAGAAGCCAAGCAGUGACUCUGAAUGCCUUGCAGUUUAGAAAUGUCAGACUUAUCCUAAGCUGGUAGAGACAAUUGGUUUAGAAUUCUUUGACAGCAUAUUCUCUGUUCAUCUUAACAAAAAGAUGUAUUUGAGAUAAGCUUGGACCUUUCUUUGUAGUAAUCGUGUCCUGAUACUAAAUUGAUAAAAUAAUAAAACUGUUGUAUGUAAGCACUAUACACUGAUGGAAAGAGUUUGAAACAAUUUGGUUUGUUUUUUUAUUUAGUAUUUACAGGAAUAAGAUAAAAAAAAAAUUGACUUAAAUAAUAAACUCAUGAAGGCACUGCAUAUGAACAACUACAAGUAGAAUAUUGCCAUCCACUCAAGGACAUUGCAGAUGAUUGUUUUGACAUCCAAUGCAUAUCUGUGUUUCUCAAACCUAUUUUUCUUUCCCAGUGAUUUGAGGGACCGUUGGUUUAUUUACUCAUGGCGGUAACAAAAGAAUUCAUCCCAUGAUGUUGCCUAAUUUAUGCAAAAAAAAACAUUGUGAUGAAGUGUCAUUUCUGCACUUCCUGAAAAAAAUUAUAAAUCCCUUUAAUAAUGACACAUGUAUACAUAAAUCAAGAAAUCAUUUUACAUGAGGAUGCCAUUGAGCCUACCUUUCAGAAAGGUUGGCUUUGUGUCUCAUGUAGCAGUAACUAUGGUAAAACAUUGCUAACGGACUCAAUAUUUUGGUAUCAGUCUGUGUCUUUCCGUAUUAAUAUAUUAUUAAUCAGUAUGCUAAAAAAAAGUGAAUGACUGAAAAAAAUAAUGAAAUAUGUAUGAACCUAAAUACAGGCAAAAAUUGCCUUGCAAACGUUUACACAACAGGAAUUCAUGUUAACAAAUGUUACAUUUUACUACCCUUCCUCACUUAGUUGACAAAAUUCACUUUAACAAUUUUUUCCCCAUGGACAAUUUUAGCAGGUGCAGCCUCAAUCAGCUGAUUCCAUCCAACAAUCCUCCUCAUACUCCUAGUAAUACAUUUUUUUUUUUUUUUGGGGGGGGGGGGGGGAUUUCAAUAAUAAUUGGAGUGUAUGGAAAAGUCUACAUUCAUAGGUGCAGCAUUUUAUAUUGGAAAAGGCUGCUACAGAGACAGCCUUCAAGCAUUUUUUGUAUCUGUUGUUCAGUAAUGACAUCAAUGGUUUUGAAAAAUUCCAGGGCAUAUUUAGAGGAUUUUGAGGGGGAUCUAUCUGUAAGUCUUGCUGAUUUCCCCCAAAAUCACCAUCAUAAUUCCCACUUCCCAUUAUAUACUUCCCACAAAGACAGGUAUGAAUGAAAAAUGAAAUUUGAUACUGCCAUGUUCCAAGCAAAUACAGCUUCAACCUCUUGUGGUGUAUCUACUUCUUCAGAGGAGCUAACGCCAGUGGAAUGUCAUGAAAUACAUACAUACUACAUUUCAUCUCUAUUUUCAUUGGACACCAAAAAUGUAAUCAUCUACACUACUUUCUGUAUACACAGGGUGGGGAGUCAGAAUAAAUUUAGCUUAAAACAAAUUUAAAACAAAAGUAUAAGAGAAAGAAAAAGAAGACACAUUAGCCAGAAAAGGAAAGCUGGUCCUUUGUUAUGGGUCCAAUAGCUGGCUACAUCCCUACUACAUCUGUACUGACCCUGACCAAUGUCUCUCAAUCCACUAGAGAGUGAGUCAAACAAGGGUUUUCCUGCCAAACUGUCCUCCUCCAUUCCUCCAAGGUAUUAAUUAAUUGCUUUCUUCCCUAAACUCCAUUCCAUGCUAGCAGUCUCUUCACCAUAUGCUUAGUUCUCUUUUGCAAGAUCAUCCCUGCUGGCCACAUCACCUCACCCACCCUACGGCGCCAAACUUGAUAUUGAAAGUCCCUCUGAGCAAGUGUCCAGGCUUCCUCUUUCCCAUUUUAAGUACCUUAUGGUAGGAUCCAUCGACUUGCUCAAGUCACGAAUCUCGUGCCAUAAAUUCUUAUCCCCACUUGUUCCCUCCAUCCCCUCAAUAUGACCACACCUCACCAUGCUUACAUCUGUUUGCUUCUCAAAUGAUCACCAAAUUCCACAUCUCUUUCCACUUUUCCAUUUCUUACCAUGUCUGUUCUAUAGAAUGAGAUCAAAUAUACAGUUCCUCUUUUCUAUAUUUUUUCAAAUGUUUUCCCAGUACUGGUGACAUAUUACAUAUAUUACUUUGAACCCUAAAUAUUUGAAUAAUGUAGCAUGUUCUGUGUACUCUCGCACUUGUACUGAGGUUUGCCUUUUUGUCUUUAUACCACUCUUAAGUCUGGCUUUAGAAGAUGCAGUAUUAUGCAUAUGUAUUUCAAAAGCACUAUAGUGAAACCAAAUUAUCGAGUGUUUGGGCGUUGGCUCCCACAGGUCCUUUCCUCCCCUCUGCUCUGCCACACAGUCCCAACACCUAUCUCUUCCUCUCAUAUGUAAGGUAUAGGCAACAUAUGAGAGGAAAAAAUAGGUGUUGGGACUGUGUGGCAGAGCAGAGGGUACAAAUGGACUGUGUGGCAGAGCAGAGGGGACAAAUGGACUGUGUGGCAGAGCAGAGGGUACAAAUGGACUGUGUGGCAGAGCAGAGGGGACAAAUGGACUGUGUGGCAGAGCAGAGGGGACAAAUGGACUGUGUGGCAGAGCAGAGGGGACAAAUGGACUGUGUGGCAGAGCAGAGGGGACAAAUGGACUGUGUGGCAGAGCAGAGGGGACAAAUGGACUGUGUGGCAGAGCAGAGGGGACAAAUGGACUGUGUGGCAGAGCAGAGGGUACAAAUGGACUGUGUGGCAGAGCAGAGGGUACAAAUGGACUGUGUGGCAGAGCAGAGGGGACAAAUGGACUGUGUGGCAGAGCAGAGGGGACAAAUGGACCCGCGGGACCCAAUGCCCAAACGGACGCGACAAUUUGGUUUCACUAUAGAAAGGAUAUAAAAUGUAUCUGACCUCCAUUUCUUGAUGUAGUGUCUUUGUUCAUUCCAACUUGUAAAGCUUUAUUUGCACCCAAUACCCUUAUUACCUGUGUUUUCAUCAAUGCAUUUAUGUUUGGCAUAAUGUGCAAGAAUUAUAUAAGCAUAUCUUUUUUUUUUUCAUUGUGACGAGGAUUAUAAGUGACAUGUUUUUUCCUCUGAAGCAGUGGUCUGACAAACUUAAGGAAUUAUAUUUUACUGUUGGACUUUGCUUGAAACAAGUAACAUGUGAUAUGUGAGAAUUUUAAAUACUUUGUUAUACUCACAAGCAGUGGUGUGAUGCCAAUUGAGGGCUGAUACCAAAGUAAAUCCAUCUUAUUCAACUGAGCUUGACGGAGCAGUAAUGGAAGUUAGUUACUCGUGUAGUGGUGGGUACUUGGGGUGACUGGCUAGUUUUUGGUACAUUAUAGUUUUUGUAAUUGGAAAAAAACAGUGUGUUCAAUGUAUUUUGCUUACUUUUUUUCAUCAUUCACCUAACCAUUUAACAUGGAGCUUUGCUCCUAACUUUUAUUGAAUUAUAUAAAAGUAAUGUCAUUUAACUGAGCUGAAAUUCUGCUUUUUAGAAUUUGUAUACAUUUUUCAGGUAACUGGUAAAUACAUACAAGUAAACAUUGACAGUUAAUGACUUAUUCUUGUGAAAUUCAGUGGUGAUAGGAAGUCACAAAGUUAUACCUGAUGAAAGGCAUUAUUUAAGGUGUUAAAGGAAGUAUAAGACUUUUUGAAUGAAUGUAGUCAUACAACAGAAGAGAUACUUUACUUAGUAAACACAGCCAAAGAAAGUUUACUUAAUGUAUAUAAACCAUUUACAUCAAAUAACUACAGGUUGAUGGAGAUUCAUGAUCAAAUAUAUUGAAAAAUCAUUAGCAAUGAAGAAUAUGUUCAUGGAACAUACAUGCUUGUUUUUAUGUGUUGUGUCCCUGGUGCACAGCCAUCUUCUUAAGGCUGGGUAUGAGGGGUUGGGCUCUGGUGCAGCAUUAGCACAAAAGAUAUGAAUGAAGAUUAAUUUUAUUUUGUGUUACUAUUUUUGUAUAUCAAUGUUUUCAUAUGGUAGACUGCAAAACAUUAGUUUUGUACAAAAAUAAUUUUUAAGGCUCUUGGAUAGUGUAUGCCAUUCAUUUAGAAGCAUUUGCAAUUUAUCAAGAUUUAUAAUUUUGUACAUGAGAAAGGUUAUCUAAAUUAAAUGUAUUGUCUCAUCCUGGAAAUAUAUGUGACAGCCAAGAAAUCA